rnacentral:rRNA from 1 species
UGGGGAAUUUUGGACAAUGGGCGCAAGCCCGAUCCAGCCAUGCCGCGUGCAGGAUGAAGGCCUUCGGGUUGUAAACUGCUUUUGUACGGAACGAAACGGCCUUUUCUAAUAAAGAGGGCUAAUGACGGUACCGUAAGAAUAAGCACCGGCUAACUACGUG